UCUCUAUUCUGAAAGGUCUUCAAGGACAGUUAGUGGUUAACAUCAAGAAAUUUCAACACUAAAAUUAUGGGUUGAAACAAUUUCACCAACCCUUUGUCAAAUCUGUCAGAUUUGUUUUUGGGUGCUUUGAUGAAUAAGAGCUCAUUAUGAUCUUCCACUUUCACGGUCUGUCAUCGGCGCGCCGUCAUUUCUGCCGUUCGUCGUGAGGGGGAGUAUGUUUCCAGCCAGGUUUUAGGCUUUCAGACUCCACUAGUCAAUGAUG
rnacentral:lncRNA from 1 species